rnacentral:misc_RNA from 1 species
UCCUCUCUCCAAACUCCUGUUUGGGCGUUGGGCCGAGUUGUGGCAACGCAACUGGUCUCGAAGACAAUGACGGCGUCCGUGGGACCCUCUUCGCAACGAGUCUUUCGAGGCACGCGGGGAGUUGCAAGGUCCCUCCGGGCCGGUCUAACCUUUUAUUUUUCUCA